UACGGUCACAUCAUGCUGAAACACCGGUUCCUGUACGAUCCCCGAAGUUAAGUAACAUCGAGCCUCGUCAGUACCAAGAUGGGUGACAAUUAGAGAAGGCCAGG